UAAAAGGGUCGGUUGGCUAAUUAUGCCACACUCGCCCUCAUUUGGUGGGUGCCGUAUGGCAAUCAAGACAUAUGGCCGACAAAAUUUAUGGGACUUAAAAGGGUUGGCUUGCGCGGCCGACCCUCCU